AAGUCGUGCGAGAAAGUAUCUUCGGAUAUGAGUAGAGCGGCGGACGGGUGAGUAACGCGUAGGAAUCUACCUAGUAGAAGGGGAUAGCCCGGGGAAACUCGGAUUAAUACCGUAUACCUCCUUCGGGAGAAAGAAGGCCUCUCUUUGAAGCUUUCGCUACUAGAUGAGCCUGCGUAAGAUUAGCUUGUUGGUGAGGUAAAGGCUCACCAAGGCGACGAUCUUUAGCGGGUCUGAGAGGACGAUCCGCCACAUUGGGACUGAGACACGGCCCAGGCUCCUACGGGAGGCAGCAGUGGGGAAUAUUGGACAAUGGGCGCAAGCCUGAUCCAGCCAUACCGCGUGUGUGAAGAAGGCCCUAGGGUUGUAAAGCACUUUAAGUUGGGAAGAAAAGUUAUUGGUCAAUACCCAAUGACCGUGACAUUACCAUCAGAAUAAGGACCGGCUAAUUCCGUGCCAGCAGCCGCGGUAAUACGGAAGGUCCAAGCGUUAAUCGGAAUUACUGGGCGUAAAGCGCGCGUAGGUGGUUUAUUAAGUUGGAUGUGAAAUCCCCGGGCUCAACCUGGGAACUGCAUCCAAAACUGAUUCACUAGAGUACGAUAGAGGGAGGUAGAAUUCACAGUGUAGCGGUGGAAUGCGUAGAUAUUGUGAAGAAUACCAAUGGCGAAAGCAGCCUCCUGGAUCUGUACUGACACUGAGUGCGAAAGCGUGGGUAGCGAACAGGAUUAGAUACCC
rnacentral:rRNA from 1 species